rnacentral:rRNA from 1 species
GCCAGAGACAUAUCUCUCUGCAGUUCUCACCUGAUUUCCCACUGAAGCUAAGCAGGGUUGAGCCUGGCCAGUACCUGGAUGGCAGAUCUUCUAGGGAUAACUAAGUUUGCUGCUGGAA